AUUGUUUUGACACGUGACACCUAGUCGCUAGACAAGUCUUUUUUUAAUAUAUAUAAAUAGUAUCGUUGUGCGGCUAUACUCUUUUUUUAUUUUUUUAUUUUAAAAUAGUAUAGCCGCACGGCUAUUCGCAGUUUUAUUAAAGUUUCUUAAAACUGCAAUCCAACUUUAAUAUACAAAUACCACAUGUACCCACACAUUUUGCAAAUAUAACUUUUAAAUAUAUAUACUUCUGACCAAAAAAAUAAAAAAAUAAAAAAAUAUAUACUUACUGGCCACUAAACACUUUUUCUCACUUUUUCAUUUUUCUCUUCGCUCUCUCUCUCUCUCUCUCUCUCUCUCUCUCUCUCUCUCUCACUUGCUGUGUUUGGAUUUGAGCUGUUGGAUUGAUCUUGAUCUGAGUUUUUGCGCCUUGUGGCUGGCCAAAUCCAUGAUCAUCAGCGUCCCAAUGGACCCCUCUCCAGUGCGAACCACUCAACCUCUUGAUGAAGAAGAUGAGUGGGUUGUUUUGCAUUUCUGCUGCUGUGAGCUUUGAAAGUAUCGGAAAUUUUGCUUAAAUGGAGGUUGCUUUGUUAAGGUUUUGGAAGAAUGGAUGAAGCAGAUUUUUUGCAAGGAUGCUAUCUUUAUGUGUAUUUUUGUGAUGGGUUGUAAUCUUUAAUUUCAUAAGUUUAAUUUGGAUUGCUUGCUUUAUUUGUGUAUUAUUUUUUUGUCAUGGUUUGUAAGAGAUUAUAUUUCCUUUUCUUGCUUGGUUGGUUGAAUGUGUGAAUGUGAGAUUCAUUUAGUUGUUUAGAAACUUAGAUUGGAAUGAUGGAUUUUUAUAGGUUGAAUUUGCAUAAUUUCAGGUUUUGAA